GAUGAACGCUGGCGGCGUGCCUAAUACAUGCAAGUCGAGCGAACAGACGAGGAGCUUGCUCCUCUGACGUUAGCGGCGGACGGGUGAGUAACACGUGGAUAACCUACCUAUAAGACUGGGAUAACUUCGGGAAACCGGAGCUAAUACCGGAUAAUAUAUUGAACCGCAUGGUUCAAUAGUUAAAGACGGUUUUGCUGUCACUUAUAGAUGGAUCCGCGCCGCAUUAGCUAGUUGGUAAGGUAACGGCUUACCAAGGCAACGAUGCGUAGCCGACCUGAGAGGGUGAUCGGCCACACUGGAACUGAGACACGGUACAGACUCCUACGGGAGGCAGCAGUAGGGAAUCUUCCGCAAUGGGCGAAAGCUUGACGGAGCAACGCCGCGUGAGUGAUGAAGGUCUUCGGAUCGUAAAACUCUGUUAUUAGGGAAGAACAAAUGUGUAAGUAACUAUGCACGUCUUGACGGUACCUAAUCAGAAAGCCACGGCUAACUACGUG
rnacentral:rRNA from 1 species